rnacentral:rRNA from 1 species
GGGGAAUUUUGGACAAUGGGCGCAAGCCUGAUCCAGCCAUGCCGCGUGAGUGAAGAAGGCCUUCGGGUUGUAAAGCUCUUUCGGCCGGGAAGAAAUCGUAUGGGUUAAUACCCUGUGCGGAUGACGGUACCGGCAUAAGAAGCACCGGCUAACUACGUGCCAGCAGCCGCGGUAAUACGUAGGGUGCGAGCGUUAAUCGGAAUUACUGGGCGUAAAGCGUGCGCAGGCGGUUUUGUAAGACAGGCGUGAAAUCCCCGGGCUCAACCUGGGAACUGCGUUUGUGACUGCAAGGCUAGAGUACGGCAGAGGGGGGUGGAAUUCCACGUGUAGCAGUGAAAUGCGUAGAGAUGUGGAGGAACACCAAUGGCGAAGGCAGCCCCCUGGGUCGAUACUGACGCUCAUGCACGAAAGCGUGGGUAGCAAAC